rnacentral:rRNA from 1 species
AACGAACGCUGGCGGCAUGCCUAACACAUGCAAGUCGAACGAGACCUUCGGGUCUAGUGGCGCACGGGUGCGUAACGCGUGGGAACCUGCCCUUAGGUUCGGUAUAACUCCCCGAAAGGGGUGCUAAUACCGGAUAAUGUCUUCGGACCAAAGAUUUAUCGCCUUUGGAUGGGCCCGCGUUGGAUUAGCUAGUUGGUAGGGUAAAAGCCUACCAAGGCGACGAUCCAUAGCUGGUCUGAGAGGAUGAUCAGCCACACUGGGACUGAGACACGGCCCAGACUCCUACGGGAGGCAGCAGUGGGGAAUAUUGGACAAUGGGCGAAAGCCUGAUCCAGCAAUGCCGCGUGAGUGAUGAAGGCCUUAGGGUUGUAAAGCUCUUUUACCCGGGAUGAUAAUGGCAGUACCGGGAGAAUAAGCUCCGGCUAACUCCGUG